rnacentral:rRNA from 1 species
CAGCAGCCGCGGUAAUACGGAGGGAGCUAGCGUUGUUCGGAAUUACUGGGCGUAAAGCGCACGUAGGCGGCUUUGUAAGUCAGAGGUGAAAGCCUGGAGCUCAACUCCAGAACUGCCUUUGAGACUGCAUCGCUUGAAUCCAGGAGAGGUGAGUGGAAUUCCGAGUGUAGAGGUGAAAUUCGUAGAUAUUCGGAAGAACACCAGUGGCGAAGGCGGCUCACUGGACUGGUAUUGACGCUGAGGCACGAAAGCGUGGGGAGCAAACAGGAUUAGAUACCCGCGUAGUCCCUGUCUCUUAUAC